GAAAUGCGAUAAGUAAUGCGAAUUGCAGAAUUUCCGUGAGUCAUCGAAUCUUUGAACGCACAUUGCGCCCAUUGGCAUUCCGAUGGGCAUGCCUGUUCGAGCGUCAUUAUCCUCCCUCAAACCCCUGGGUUUGGUGUUGGACUCGUGUUGUGCGGUACUGGCACAACUGGUCUGAAAGACAAUGACGGCGUCCGUGGGACCCUCGGUGCAACGAGCUUUUCGAAGCACGCGUCGAGUGUUUACAGUCCCUCCGGGCCGGUCUCCUUUAUCAUUUUUCUAAGGUUGACCUCGGAUCAGGUAGGAAUACCCGCUGAACUUAA
rnacentral:misc_RNA from 1 species